UUGGAGGGCAAGUCUGGUGCCAGCAGCCGCGGUAAUUCCAGCUCCAAUAGCGUAUAUUAAAGUUGUUGCAGUUAAAAAGCUCGUAGUUGAAUUUCGAGAUCAGUACGCUGGUCGUGCCUUCGGUAUGCACUGGUGUCUCUGGUUUCUCCCUUCUGAAGAACCGUCAUGUCAUUAAGUUGAUGUGGCGGGGAAUCAGGACUGUUACUUUGAAAAAAUUAGAGUGUUUAAAGCAGGCUCGCGCUUGAAUACAUUAGCAUGGAAUAAUGAAAUAGGACGUUUGACCCUAUUUUGUUGGUUUCUAGGAUCGACGUAAUGAUUAAUAGGGAUAGUUGGGGGCAUUAGUAUUCAAUUGUCAGAGGUGAAAUUCUUGGAUUUAUUGAAGACUAACUACUGCGAAAGCAUUUGCCAAGGAUGUUUUCAUUAAUCAAGAACGAAAGUUAGGGGAUCGAAGACGAUCAGAUACCGUCGUAGUCUUAACCAUAAACUAUGCCGACUAGGGAUCGGAUGAUGUUAAUUUUUUAAUGACUCAUUCGGCGCCUUACGGGAAAC
rnacentral:rRNA from 1 species